UACGGGGGGAGCAAUCGUUGUUCGGAUUUACUGGGCGUAAAGGGCGCGUAGGCGGCCACCGCAAGUCGACUGUGAAAUCUCCGGGCUUAACCCGGAAAGGUCAGCCGAUACUGCGGGGCUAGAGUGCAGAAGGGGCAACUGGAAUUCUCGGUGUAGCGGUGAAAUGCGUAGAUAUCGAGAGGAACACCUGCGGCGAAGGCGGCUUUCUGGGCCUUACCUGACGCUGAGACGCGAAAGCGUGGGGAGCGAACCGG
rnacentral:rRNA from 1 species